GAAAAAAGAUUAAAUAUCAACCGUGGCUAACGAGAUUAUUAGUCCUCAAACAAGGGAUAUUAUUGUAAAUAUUGUUUAACACAGUUGGUUGAUCGCCAUUUGAAUUUAAUUAUUGCAAAGUAAGAACUAAUUAGCUUCAGUCUAGCACUUUUUUAUGCUUAAUUAUGUUUCUUUCACUCACACUCUAGCAGCUUUUUAUUGCUCUCUCUUACUUGACUUUUCGCUCAUGGCCUUAACUCAAUUAUAAUCAUGUAUGAAAUAUACUAGUUCUUCGUGAAUCUAAUUCUCCCUCUCUCUAAUAUUUCUUUCUUCUUAAUUCACUCAAUUAUUCUCUCGAGUUUAUCUCUUGAAUAGCUAGUAGCCUGUACUUUAAUCAAUUAUAAUCAUAUAUGAAAUAUACUAGUUCUUUGUGAAUCUAAUUCUCUCUCUCUCACUUUGUAAUAUUUUUUUUCUUCAGUCAGUUGUUCUCUCGAGUUUAUCUCCUGAAAUAGCUAAUCAAUCCUCAAAUUCACUCAGAAUUCAUGCUAUCGAGUAGCAUUUUACUGGCACCCCUAAUUGUAUUUUCUUAUAUGAAAAUCAACUAUUUUUCUAUUAGUAUAUAGAGGC
rnacentral:lncRNA from 1 species